AACUGCUUUUGGCCUCCUGCUUGCUCUUCUUGUGCAGUCUGAUUACUCCGCUUGCUGAUACUGCUUCGGCUUCGGUCUGGUUGCUUCUGUCGGACGCCGCGUAUACGAGACCGAGUAGAAGACGAAAUCGGCGGACGCGUCUUCAAAUCGGCGAUCGGCAGCGGAACGGAAAAAAUUCCCGUCGGCUUGGAGCUCGGCGGAAUCGGCGGAACGGAACUCUCGCACGGAGUCGCCAAAGUGUCUCCUAGAUUUAAUCUCAGCAAGGUGACUCUGAUACCACUUGUUAUGAAAAUAGAGAUUAAACUAGAAACGAGAGAAUGUUAGAAUAUUACAGUCUUUAGGUGUGACUACAUGAGGUAUAUAUAACGGACAAUAAACAUGAGUUCUAAUAGAACAAGGAAAACGAGUUCAACUCGUAUACCAACACAAAACCCAAACCUAUCCUGCUACGUCUAUCAGAGUUGGUAACGCAUUCGGAUCACUUUCAACACCCUGAAACCACUGACCAUCUUUGUAGAACUUGCCAUUUCACUAGGAAGGUUUGGGAUUUGGUUAGGCUCUAGUCUAGGGAUCCUCCAUCCAGAAUCAAUACUGCCUCCUCCAUUGAUGAAUGGUGGGAGUUUGACAACGCUCAAUGAAACCAGGAAGCGAGAUUUUGACAGCUUAAUCAUCUAUACCUUCUGGAGCAUGUAGAAUGAGAGAAACCGCCGUAUUUUUCAGCAUCAAGAUAAGGAUGAGGAGAAUGUUGCUGUUGCUUCUCGUGAGGAGUUUCAAGGGUUUAGGACUUCUGGAAAAAAUAUGUUGAGGUUGUCACGACUGAUGAAAAAAAAUGCUGCAUGCACGUGUUGUCUCGAACUCUCGGGAGAAACAUUGCUUGGCCAAAAUGAUGAGAGUAAAUUGUAGACCAACGAUGACAUCAUCUCCAUCGAGCCAAGGUAGGAAGCAGAGCGGUAAAAGGAAAAAUGUUGGUCGAAUUUUCUACUUCCUCCGUCCAACAAAAAAUGUUUCGACUAAAUUUGAAUGCAUUUAUACACCAAGUCAUAUCUAGAUACAUUUAAAUUUUGACAAACUUAAAAUAUUUUUUAUUGGACGAAAAGAGUAUUGCAAUUCUGAUGCCUCUUGUAGUUCGUCUGUUUCAAGACUUUCUAGUCAGGAUGGACAUGUAUGAUCUAAGUGGUGAGAAACAAUUCUUAUAUGAUCCAAGUACUUUCUGUGUCAUUGAUCGCACAUCAUAUGAGCAAUUGGAUGCUGGAUAUCAUUGUGCAACAGUAUCGGUCUGACCAAAUUGAUGAUCGUAUUUCAAACUGAAGUUAGAGUUCUAUAUUUUGAGAGCAAAAUUGAAAUGAGACUUUAUUUAUCUAAGAUUCACGUAUGCUCAAAUCACCUAGCAAACAAUGUUCGUGUUAUGGAAAAGCAUUGAAAAGAAAACCUGUCCACCGCCAACCUAAGGAUACAGAUAGGAUUGCUCUUCGAAUUCAAGCCAGGUAAACAGUCGGCAAUGUGCCUCCUGCCGGAAGGGCUGCACAGGCAUCGGCCCGAGAAAAGAUGAGCGGGAGCAGACGCUGCCAACAGAUCCAUAACUAAUUAAAAACUGUACACCAUUAAUCAAAGAAGACAUUGAAUGUACGGAGUAACACUUUUAGAUGCAGGACUAAGUGCCCACAUAGUUACUUGCCAUUAAAAAAAAGCCACUGUACAGUAAUACAGAUGUGAAUUUAUUUUGAUUUGAAACGAGAGCAACGGCUGCUUAACCAAAAGCACCAGCUCCUGAAUAUGACUGUAUGCAGAACACCAUCAAACGCCACAUUAUAACACGUCAGGUCACAGAACAUGAAACCAAUCAACAGAGCAGCAAUGCCUUUAUGAUAAUGCAAAGAUAAAUAGAUUCUCAGCUCAUGAUGAUUGACACAGUAAAAGCAGCUGCCUUGAUAAACAAAGGUUCAGAGGUCCAAACAGCUGACAUCUACUAGGCUCACAGUCGAAAA